AAUUUUACAGCUUGCCUUUCUUACAGAAACCUGCAUGCAAAAGCAGCUGGCUGCCUUUUUGCGGCUCAAGCCAUUCUGAGAAGGGUGGGAGGGACAGGAACAAGGGAGCUUAGUGCUCAGAAGGAGGUGCUGGGCUUAGCAUGCACCAAGGUCCAAGAAAAAGGAACUUUUUGCCACUUUUCCCAGCAGCUGAUAAAAGAGUUCCUCCAGAUAAUACCAUUGAAGAAAAUUGUCCUCCUUCACAUUGGGAUGGGGGGGAAACCAUAAUAAGAAUUGAGAGACUCAAAGAAUACUGAUGUAAAUUGUUAUCCCUUUAGGAUUUAAACUUUCACUGUUGGUUUUAUCCUUUUAUCUUUUUAUCUCCUGUGGAGAAAAGAGAACCAGUGGAAGCCAAAGAGAAACAGUGGAAGCUGCUUUUAUGAGCUCUCAUAGUGCCACAAUUCACUCUUCACAGCAUUCUCUGGUAGGAGAAGUUACAUCAGGGGAUGUUCUCAUUAGCUGCACUAGGUCUGGCACCACGGAGCAGCACCCCUAUGGACUCACUGCAGUCGUGUCCCUCUCAUGCCACAGCUGCCCCGCGGUGGGCUUGGAUUAAGGAUAUUCUGAGUUUCCCUGGACACUCUGAAGAAGGAUUCCAGCUCAGUUUAUAUGGGAUACUCUUUUUUGAGGAAGCAGCCUUGCCUUUUUGAUGCACCAUGCCUAAUUCUAGACAGAACAAUACCGCUGGAGCUGCAAUUUCUUGAUCACCAAACCUCCAAAACAGAGAAGAAGGUUGCCUUGGGAAGAGAUGCUGAAUGGUGCCUUGGCAAGCCCUCCCAACCUCUCAAAAUGUGCAAUGGGCAGAAAAAGUGACCUAUUCUUACAGCAACCUGGAUAAAGUCCAGAAUGUCUGAUUUCCAGCUCACUGUAACAACACUCCAAAAGGCCAGCUAAUUUGGAUGAACACUGGCAUCUUAAUAUUUAUUUUCCAUAUAGCCUCAGCCGCAGGUCUUUCCAUGUCAGAACUUCCUCAAUGAACUGGAAACUUCUUGUUUUGGUUCACAGACAUUAAACAAUUCAUAUUGUUCCAUUUCUAACAAUGUCUUUCCUGGUAAGUCAAGCCCAAAGAUAAGCCAUAUAUUAAACUUCAGGCUAAAACACUGUGUGCCAGUGCAGCCAGCUCACCAGCAGGUUGUGGGUCCCUUUGUGCUUAGGUGAUAACAAAU